rnacentral:rRNA from 1 species
UACAGAGGGGGCAAGCGUUGUUCGGAAUUACUGGGCGUAAAGGGCGCGUAGGCGGCCUUCUAAGUCGAACGUGAAAUCCCCGGGCUCAACCCGGGAACUGCGUCCGAUACUGGAAGGCUUGAAUCCGGGAGAGGGAUGCGGAAUUCCAGGUGUAGCGGUGAAAUGCGUAGAUAUCUGGAGGAACACCAAUUGCGAAGGCAGCUCGCUGGGACGUUACUGACGCUGAGACGCGAAAGCGUGGGGAGCAAACAGG